rnacentral:rRNA from 1 species
GUAACGCCUGCCCUGUGGAGACCCUAAACGGCCGCGGCAUAAAACCGUGCAAAGGUAGCACAAUCACUUGUCCCCUAAAUGAGGACCUGUAUGAAAGGCAAUAUGAGAGAGGACCUGUCUCCUGGGGUAGACCAAUGAAAUUGAACAACCAGUACAAAAGCUGGUAUGAUUAAGCAAGACAAAAAGACCCCAUGGAACUUUCAACACACCAUUAAUAAGCCUUAAUGAGAGUUUCGGUUGGGACAACCACAGAAAAACUAAACAUCUAAACCUAACAAGACCAACGGGUCUAAAAACUACAAACUGAUCCAGUCAAACUGACCAAUGAAACAAGCUACCCUGGGGAUAACAGCGCCACCUUCUUAAAGAGUCCUUAUCAACAAGAAGAUCUACGACCUCGAUGUUGGAUCAGGGUAUCCUGACGGUGUAGCAGCUGUCAAUGGUUCGUUUGUUCAACGAUUAACACCCU